rnacentral:rRNA from 1 species
CAGUAGCCGCGGUAAUACAGAGGGUGCGAGCGUUAAUCGGAUUUACUGGGCGUAAAGCGUGCGUAGGCGGCUUUUUAAGUCGGAUGUGAAAUCCCUGAGCUUAACUUAGGAAUUGCAUUCGAUACUGGGAAGCUAGAGUAUGGGAGAGGAUGGUAGAAUUCCAGGUGUAGCGGUGAAAUGCGUAGAGAUCUGGAGGAAUACCGAUGGCGAAGGCAGCCAUCUGGCCUAAUACUGACGCUGAGGUACGAAAGCAUGGGGAGCAAACAGGAUUAGAUACCCGAGUAGUCCCUGUCUCUUAUAA